rnacentral:tRNA from 1 species
GGAGGUUUUAGCUUAAUUAAAGUGUCUGGUUUGCAGUCAGAGGAUGUAUUUUAUAGUACUACAAACCUU